AGACUCUUAUUACAGGUUGUCAGUUGCGGUUUUGGGCCACUCGAACAGGUGCUGAUCAAAUCAAAUUGAUCCUACUCUUCAAGUCAAACAUAUAAAAACAGGAAAAACAAGGUGACAGCACUCCGACUUGGCCUCUUCCCUUUCUCAACAACACCAAUUUCCCGAACAGCCAACAAAACCUGCUGAUCAGCUCCCACUGAGCUGUUUUUCUUAUGAAUAGAAGUCAAUUAAAUCUCUGACAAUUUCUGGUGGUCCUUUUUUAUUGUUCUGACACUUUCUACAUAACUGUUUACAGGGUGGGCAAGGCUGUCUGCCCACAGCAUAUAAAAACGGCCCAACACACCUGGAAAAUAAAAUGCUGCUGGAAAACGCUUGUCUUCCAGGGCAACAUAAAAUUCUGCCACCUCUACUCAUGACUAAUUGGCUGUUAACACUGUUUUAACAAACCUGAGCUGCAGUGUUACACUGAUGUGCAAAUGAACAGGCGUGAUUGGAAGAGACGUCAACCAGCGCUGGCAAAAUGGAAACCAGUAGUCGGUUAAAAAUGGGUGUGAGGCGCUGCUGUAUUUCUCUUAUGCAGAUGACGUCACGGUGUUUACCCUCCAAACAUCUCUAGUAGGUGAUUUAUCUGAACAACAUGUUCAGCUGACUGGAUCUGUACGGCAUGUCCAGGGAGCGGAUACUAUUUCAGGUUUUUGGCAGCCUGUUGACGACUGUUUCUUCAUAGAUAUCAGAUAAUAGCUUACCUGGACUGAAAGGUCAAUAAAAGAUGUUUUUUAAUGUUGUCUUGAUUGGAAAUAAAAUAUCAGGUUUUGAUUCUUUUGCUGUCUAGUGGUUGCAUGAUGCGGAUGGCAUAGCGUUGCAACAUAUCAACGUGCAGCCAACUGUAUUUGUACAGCAUGUUCAGGUAUGUGUAUCAUAUUUCAGGUGUUUUUCAGGUGUUGCGAGUCAUCGACUCUUUCAUAAUGCAAAUGGUGCAACAGUUAAAAGGGUUGUAAGCCCUUAGCGGUCAAAACUGCAAAAUUUCAUCACUUUAGCAAAUUAGCUCUAGAAUUACUGGUCUGUUCAACAAGUUUAUUUUAUUUUUUAGCUGUAGGCCUAAGAUUUCCACCACAGUCAGCUGUGGUUUAAGGUAAAUAUCCUGCUGUAAUAAUGCUCCACUACCCAGAUGUAAUCAAGCACAGGUGACAGAUAGAAACUCUGUCAAGAAAUAGGGAUGUACGUGGGCUACAUCUAGUUAAUUGCUUUUAGCGAUUACACAACCAGCAUGGCACGGACAGUCCAGACCUAUUGCUGGUGGUGCUAGCUCUGCCAGUGUUAGCUACACCCUGUAUCCAAUCAGCCAAAGAGGCUCUGAUGCAGAGUUUAGUCAUGGUCAGUCAAAUUAACUGUAAUCUGAGUCUUUAGCUCAGUCAGCUCGCCAGAAUUCAAUUUUUUAUCUGAAUGACUUCUGAGGUGUUUUAAGCUAAAUGUGAGUUUUAAUGCUAGUGGGUUUACUGUGUUUAUUCUAUGCAGAUGACACCAUCUUGUACAAAUGCCUCUUCGUGAACAACACAGUUAAUACCGAUUUGAUAUCCUCACUUUUUCCUCAAUUUCCUGUUCUUCCUGUUCACACUGUACACGUCAGACUUCAAAUACAGUACUGAGUCCUGCCACGUCCAGAAAUACUCAGAUGACACCGCUAUUGUGGCAUGUAUCAGAAAUGGACAAGAAGCUGAAUACAGAGAUCUAAUAAGAGCCUUCAGUGACUGGAGUCACAAAAACUGCCUCCUCCUCAACACCUCAAAGACAAAGGAGAUGGUCGUAGAUCCAACAAAAAAACAUAAUAUGUGAGACAACAGACGAUUGUAUUUCCCUUCGG
rnacentral:lncRNA from 1 species